AUCCAGAUGACAAGUCCCACAUAGAACGAAAUGCGCGUCCUGGAU
rnacentral:hammerhead_ribozyme from 1 species